rnacentral:rRNA from 1 species
UACGAGGGGGGCAAGCGUUGUUCGGAAUUAUUGGGCGUAAAGGGCGCGUAGGCGGUUUGACAAGUCUGAUGUGAAAUCUAUGGGCUCAACCCAUAGCCUGCAUUAGAAACUGUCGGGCUUGAGUAUGGGAGAGGUGAGUGGAAUUUCCGGUGUAGCGGUGAAAUGCGUAGAUAUCGUAAGGAAGGCCAGUGGCGAAAGCGAGCCUCUGGACAGUUGCUGACGCUGUGGCACGAAGGCUAGGGGAGCAAACGGG